AAAAUAGCGCCGGGCCUGCUUUUGCACUGUUGCCGUUUUCGGCAAAAUCGGCAGGUGACGAGGAAGAAGUUAUCGAAAGUUUCGGCGGAUGCUUCUUGCCCCAUAAGUGCGGGGGCCAUAGGCUUUUCCGAAAAACCGCGCAGCGAUGUGCGAAACAGAGGGAAAGGCAA
rnacentral:ncRNA from 1 species